rnacentral:rRNA from 1 species
UUUGAUGGCGACCGGCGCACGGGUGAGUAACACGUAUCCAACCUGCCGAUGACUCGGGGAUAGCCUUUCGAAAGAAAGAUUAAUACCCGAUGGCAUAGUUCUUCCGCAUGGUAGAACUAUUAAAGAAUUUCGGUCAUCGAUGGGGAUGCGUUCCAUUAGUUUGUUGGCGGGGUAACGGCCCACCAAGACUACGAUGGAUAGGGGUUCUGAGAGGAAGGUCCCCCACAUUGGAACUGAGACACGGUCCAA